GAUGAACGUUGGCGGCGUGCUUAACACAUGCAAGUCGAACGAUGAAGCCCAGCUUGCUGGGUGGAUUAGUGGCGAACGGGUGAGUAACACGUGAGUAACCUGCCCUUAACUCUGGGAUAAGCCUGGGAAACUGGGUCUAAUACCGGAUAGGAGCGCCUACCGCAUGGUGGGUGUUGGAAAGAUUUAUCGGUUUUGGAUGGACUCGCGGCCUAUCAGCUUGUUGGUGAGGUAAUGGCUCACCAAGGCGACGACGGGUAGCCGGCCUGAGAGGGUGACCGGCCACACUGGGACUGAGACACGGCCCAGACUCCUACGGGAGGCCGCAGUGGGGAAUAUUGCACAAUGGGCGAAAGCCUGAUGCAGCGACGCCGCGUGAGGGAUGACGGCCUUCGGGUUGUAAACCUCUUUCAGUAGGGAAGAAGCGAAAGUGACGGUACCUGCAGAAGAAGCACCGGCUAACUACGUG
rnacentral:rRNA from 1 species